rfam:Oryza sativa Japonica Group DNA, chromosome 2, cultivar: Nipponbare, complete sequence.
AAUAAACGUAGUUUUGCACUAUUAACGUUCAACGUUUAACCGUUAGUCUUAUUUGAAAUUUUUUUAUGAUUAGUAUUUUUAUUGCUAUUAGAUGAUAAAAUAUGAAUAGUACUUUAUGUGUGAUUAAAUAUUUUUAAUUUUUUUACAAUUUUUUUAAAUAAGACGGACGGUCAAAACGUUGGGCAUGGAUAUCCACGGCUGCACUUAUU